rnacentral:rRNA from 1 species
AGAGUUUGAUCAUGGCUCAGGAUGAACGCUAGCUACAGGCUUAACACAUGCAAGUCGAGGGGAAACGACAUCGAAAGCUUGCUUUUGAUGGGCGUCGACCGGCGCACGGGUGAGUAACGCGUAUCCAACCUGCCCACCACUUGGGGAUAACCUUGCGAGAGUAAGACUAAUACCCAAUGACGUCUCUAGAAGACAUCUGAAAGAGAUUAAAGAUUUAUCGGUGAUGGAUGGGGAUGCGUCUGAUUAGCUUGUUGGCGGGGUAACGGCCGGCCAAGGCUACGAUCGAGUAGGGGUUCUGAGAGGAAGGUCCCCACAUUGGAACUGAGACACGGUCCAAACUCCGUACGGGAGGCA